rnacentral:snRNA from 1 species
GUUCAGCAGCACAUACAUAUACCAAAAUUGGAAUGAUACAGAGAAGAUUAGCAUGGCCUCUGCACAAGGAUGACAUGCAAAUUCAUGAAACAUUCCAUAUUAAA